rnacentral:tRNA from 1 species
GCGCCCUUAGCUCAACUAGGCAGAGCAACUGACUCUUAAUCAGUAGGUUGAAGUUUCGAUUCCUUCAGGGCGUACCA